CUCCCGACUCCCCCUUCCAAUUUGACCCACUUUACCCUCACACAGUCACACUAACCAAAUCAGCUGUUUUCUCUCUCUUGUGGGCUCGAUGACUGGGCUUGUCAAUAAUCUUCCUCCUGUGUCUCCUCCAUUGAAGCGUACUAUUAACUCUCUAUUGAAGCGGCUUUUGAGCUUUCUCGCUCCAUUGAAACAGAUUAUGAGAUAUUCAGGUUACAACCAUUAGCUAGAGCAUCACAGUGUAUCUGAAAAGGAACCAGAAGCUCCAGCCAAGAUUGAUGAUGCUGAAGAUAGAAGACACAAAAGGAACAAACUUACUGACUGUUAUGGUACCAAGGGUGCUAUAAAGAAGGACAAGGAGCAAUGCGCUUAAGUCAAAAGGCAGAUUCUGAUGCCAUGCCUGAGAUAACCGUAAGCCGUGUUUAUGAGGCAACUCCUAUAGACAAGACAGCAAUUGCAAGUUCCAGUUUGGACACUCGCUACAAUGUUACCCCACAUGUUCUCUCUGCUACAGCACCAGAGAAGGCUAGGCUGAUAAGUUGAUUGUUUUCACGCUGUCUUAGAUGUUUGACAUCUUUUCCCCUGAGAUGCCAUGUAAACAUUAUAUUGUCAUCGUACUAAUUUAUAAGUUUUGGUCUUUUUGGAACUAGUAUUGAUAAUCAAGGCUUCAUCUACAUCUUGCUACAAGAGAAUUGUGUGUUGGAAAGGAGUUGAAAUUGGCAUGUGCUUUUGUUUGCUUAAAGUAAAACAAUAGCAGAAGGUAGAUAAGGAAAAAUAAAGGGAAGUAGGAUGAAGCACCAAAAAGGUUUGCUGGCAUCUUGUCAUAUUCUCUACUCAUAAACUUCAAGAAUCGGUAUUCUGCUGGUGGCGGCAGCAACCUUCCAAGAAUAAAAAAUAUCUCCCAAGAAUUCUGUAACAAAAUGUUUGUCGAUUCAGAUAAAAACAGGAUCGCGGAUGACAAAAUAGGCUCGUUCAUUAGCUAUGUGCUGGUUCUCACCUUAAUGGUUGAUGAGUUUCAGACUGGUUAUACUGAUAUUGCCAAGGAUCUGAAGAUGUCUGCUUUAAGUCCAAGACCUUAUUUCGAGAAUUUGGGCUGUAAAUUUGCGAGAAGAAAUAAAGUGGCUGUUGCUAUUCUUCCUAUUCCUUUCAAGUUCCCAACGCUGAGGAAGAAGAGAAUAGGAUAGAUGUAAAUAUGGCUUCUGGUAGACUGCUAUGAAUGAAAGGUAAAGUUACUGACUUGUUGCAAUGGAGAAAAUUGUAGGAUUGUACUAAUUAUGAUGGCUUAUUGAUUUUAUAAUUCUGACCUAAGUGCAUAGAUAUACGUAAUCAAACAUUUUGUGCUUUAAAUUUUUUGUUUUACUGAUUUGAUAUUGAAAAACGUGCUUUACUCUUUUUAUUUUUUAUUAAAAAUUUUGUUUUACUGAUUUGAAAUUGAAAAACGCGUUUUACCCUGGAUUAGCUUUGGCAAGUUUAUUUUAUUUUUUUAUUUUUUAUUUAUUUAUUUUUUUUUUUUUUUGACAAUGAGUACAUAUAACGAAAGACAGAAAUUACAACCUAUAAGAGCUAAACAAAACUACAUCAAACCACAUACAUAAACUACGAAAGGAAAAACUUAUGAACUGUAGCUGAGGCAAGAUGCUUAAUCCAUCCCAUAAACACGGCUUGCAAUGACCACCAUUGGAGGACAAUUGAAGUGACUGAGAACUCAAACAAUGCCUUGCUUCGUACAUGUUAUAACAGAGCCUGGAAAACCAAGAAAAACUUACAAUAUCCUUACCGUGACCCGAGAGUUGCAACCUUUGUCGAGAAACUUGAAAUGGACAAUGGUUGCGGGUUGAAAUUAGGGAAGGGAACUGAAACUUGCAAACCCACAAAUGCAAGUUCUUGAUAGAAGAAGUUGAGAGUUGCCACGACCGAAAGAUGAAAGCAUCCUGUUGACGAAAUAAACCUUCACAACAUUCCACUCCUAGGGAUCGGAAAGCAUAGCUACUUCCUAGGAGUCCAGGAACAAAUCUAAUAGUCAUCCUAUCUUAUGACUCCGACAUGAGAAACCGUACACCCAAAUGUGGUUUCUCUUCCUGCAACUCUACUAACAAAGAGAGCAAGAGAUUGGAGGACUUUGCUCACCCCAAACAUUAAAGAUGGGGAGCCUCCGUCUAGAUGAGACUAAAAGCGAUGAUUGACUUUGUCAUCACAAAGACUAACAAAGCGAUGAAAGCAACCGAACGAAUAUCUAAUUCAUGCUUUGAUCCCACCUUCCUACUGGCAUCUCUCCAUGGAGACGGCAACAUACCUUCUGAACAUUUUGCCUACUAAAGCCCUUGUAAACACCACUCUCGCACUUGCUUUAUUUCGCAAAAUUCCUUCAUAUGACCAUUUACGAGUAUUUGGAUGUUUUUGUUUUCCUAAUUUAUCAGCUACAACCCCGCACAAUUUAGCUCCUAGGUCGGCUCCAUAUGUCUUUUUGGGAUACCCCACAAACCACCGCGGAUACACUUUUCUAGACCUAUCUUCAAAUAAAAUU